GGGCUCCUGUAUAAAUGUCUCCUCACAGUGCGUUCUUAAAAUUAUUAGAAAUCAAUGUGAUCGUUUUCAUGAUGAACACUGCGCGAAUAAUGACAAAAUUAUGUAAUUUUAUCCACUAAACUAAGUAAAAUAUAAUUAAAACUUGUCGUUGAACUCAAAAUGAUGAUCGAUGAAAAAUCUGCUGAUUCAUAUCGUAUCAUUCUUAUAUCUGACUAUCACUAUGAUGAUGCUUUGUGAAAAAUAAAGAAAAA
rnacentral:lncRNA from 1 species